GAUGAACGCUGGCGGCGUGCCUAACACAUGCAAGUCGAGCGAUCUCUUCGGAGAGAGCGGCGGACGGGUGAGUAACGCGUGGGUAACCUGCCCUGUACACACGGAUAACAUACCGAAAGGUAUGCUAAUACGGGAUAAUAUAUAAAAGUCGCAUGGCUUUUAUAUCAAAGCUUUUGCGGUACAGGAUGGACCCGCGUCUGAUUAGCUAGUUGGUAAGGUAACGGCUUACCAAGGCGACGAUCAGUAGCCGAUCUGAGAGGGUGAUCGGCCACACUGGAACUGAGACACGGUCCAGACUCCUACGGGAGGCAGCAGUGGGGAAUAUUGCACAAUGGGCGAAAGCCUGAUGCAGCAACGCCGCGUGAGCGAUGAAGGCCUUCGGGUCGUAAAGCUCUGUCCUCAAGGAAGAUAAUGACGGUACUUGAGGAGGAAGCCCCGGCUACUACGUGCCAGCCGCCGCCGUAA
rnacentral:rRNA from 1 species